AACGGACGCUGGCGGCAUGCCUAACACAUGCAAGUCGAACGAAGCCUUCGGGCUUAGUGGCGCACGGGUGAGUAACGCGUGGGAAUCUGCCCUUGGGUUCGGAAUAACAGUUAGAAAUGACUGCUAAUACCGGAUGAUGUCUUCGGACCAAAGAUUUAUCGCCCAAGGAUGAGCCCGCGUAGGAUUAGGUAGUUGGUGGGGUAAUGGCCCACCAAGCCGACGAUCCUUAGCUGGUCCGAGAGGAUGAUCAGCCACACUGGGACUGAGACACGGCCCAGACUCCUACGGGAGGCAGCAGUGGGGAAUAUUGGACAAUGGGCGAAAGCCUGAUCCAGCAAUGCCGCGUGAGUGAUGAAGGCCUUAGGGUUGUAAAGCUCUUUUACCAGGGAUGAUAAUGGCAGUACCUGGAGAAUAAGCUCCGGCUAACUCCGUGCCAGCCGCCGCAGUAAUAC
rnacentral:rRNA from 1 species